rnacentral:rRNA from 1 species
CCCAGACUCCUACGGGAGGCAGCAGUGGGGAAUAUUGCACAAUGGGGGAAACCCUGAUGCAGCGACGCCGCGUGAGCGAUGAAGUAUUUCGGUAUGUAAAGCUCUAUCAGCAGGGAAGAAAAUGACGGUACCUGACUAAGAAGCCCCGGCUAACUACGUGCCAGCAGCCGCGGUAAUACGUAGGGGGCAAGCGUUAUCCGGAUUUACUGGGCGUAAAGGGAGCGUAGACGGCGGUGCAAGCCAGAUGUGAAAGCCCGGGGCUCAACCCCGGAACUGCUUUGGAAACUGAGCAGCUAGAGUGCAGGAGAGGUAAGUGGAAUUCCUAGUGUAGCGGUGAAAUGCGUAGAUAUUAGGAGGAACACCAGUGGCGAAGGCGGCUUACUGGACUGUAACUGACGUUGAGGCUCGAAAGCGUGGGGAGCAAACAGGAUUAGAUACCCCAGUA